rnacentral:rRNA from 1 species
GUGAAAUUCCGUCGGAAUCUGGGAGGACCAUCUCCUAAGGCUAAAUACUCUCUAGUGACCGAUAGUGAACCAGUACCGUGAGGGAAAGGUGAAAAGCACCCCGGAAGGGGAGUGAAAUAGAACCUGAAACCGUGUGCUUACAAGUAGUCAGAGCCCGUUAAUGGGUGAUGGCGUGCCUUUUGUAGAAUGAACCGGCGAGUUACGAUUUGAUGCAAGGUUAAGCAGUAAAUGUGGAGCCGUAGCGAAAGCGAGUCUGAAUAGGGCGUUUAGUAUUUGGUCGUAGACCCGAAACCAGGUGAUCUACCCUUGGUCAGGUUGAAGUUCAGGUAACACUGAAUGGAGGACCGAACCGACUUACGUUGAAAAGUGAGCGGAUGAACUGAGGGUAGCGGAGAAAUUCCAAUCGAACCUGGAGAUAGCUGGUUCUCUCCGAAAUAGCUUUAGGGCUAGCCUCAAGUGAUGAUUAUUGGAGGUAGAGCACUGUUUGGAUGAGGGGCCCCUCUCGGGUUACCGAAUUCAGACAAACUCCGAAUGCCAAUUAAUUUAACUUGGGAGUCAGAACAUGGGUGAUAAGGUCCGUGUUC